rnacentral:tRNA from 1 species
GCAUAGGUGGUUCAGUGGUAGAAUGCUCGCCUGCCACGCGGGCGGCCUGGGUUCGAUUUGCAUGCA